AAAAAAGCGAUGACGAGGAAAAUUAAAGGAUUUACCUCAAAGAGAGCCGGUGGUUGGUGUAAACCGGCAGGUGUCCUUUAUUUCCGCCUCGGAGUGCUGGUGAAGAACCGGACGGUUUAGCCGUUAACAAAAAUGAGUGCGCAUAUAGGGUGGCACCGCGGUGAAAAAAACCGCCCCUUUU
rnacentral:ncRNA from 1 species